rnacentral:rRNA from 1 species
GACGAACGCUGGCGGCGUGCUUAACACAUGCAAGUCGAGCGGUAAGGCUCCUUCGGGAGUACACGAGCGGCGAACGGGUGAGUAACACGUGAGCAAUCUGCCCUUCACUUUGGGAUAACUCCGGGAAACCGGUGCUAAUACCGAAUGCGACCACUUCAGGCAUCUGACGGUGGUGGAAAGUUCCGGCGGUGAAAGGAUGAGCUCGCGGCCUAUCAGCUUGUUGGUGAGGUAAUGGCUCACCAAGGCUUCGACGGGUAGCCGGCCUGAGAGGGUGACCGGCCACACUGGGACUGAGACACGGCCCAGACUCCUACGGGAGGCAGCAGUGGGGAAUAUUGGACAAUGGGCGAAAGCCUGAUCCAGCAACGCCGCGUGAGGGAUGACGGCCUCGGUUGGUAAACCGUCUUUCUAGCAGGGACGAAG